rnacentral:rRNA from 1 species
GGGUCAGGAGGUUGGUCGUGCCACCGGUACGUACUGGUCUCACUGAUUCCUCCUUCCUGAAGAACCGUAAUGCCAUUAAUUUGGUGUUGCGGGGAAACAGGACUGUUACUUUGAAAAAAUUAGAGUGUUUAAAGCAAGCUAACGCUUGAAUACAUUAGCAUGGAAUAAUGAAAUAGGACGAUCGAUCCUCUUUUGUUGGUUUCUAGGAUUGACGA